UACAGAGGUCUCAAGCGUUGUUCGGAUUCAUUGGGCGUAAAGGGCGCGUAGGCGGCUUGGGAAGUCUGUGGUGAAAGCUCGUGGCUCAACUGCGAGUCGGCCAUAGAUACUCCUAAGCUCGAGUCGACUAGAGGCAGAUGGAAUUCCGGGUGUAGCGGUGGAAUGCGUAGAGAUCCGGAAGAACACCGGUGGCGAAGGCGGUCUGCUGGGGUCGAACUGACGCUGAGGCGCGACAGCGUGGGGAGCAAACAGG
rnacentral:rRNA from 1 species